UUGACCUCAAAUCAGGUAGGACUACCCGCUGAACUUAAGCAUAUCAAUAAGCGGAGGAAAAGAAACUAACAAGGAUUCCCCUAGUAACUGCGAGUGAAGCGGGAAAAGCUCAAAUUUAAAAUCUGGCGGUCUUGCGGCCGUCCGAGUUGUAAUCUGGAGAAGCGUUUAUCCGCGUCGGACCGUGUACAAGUCUUCUGGAAGGGAGCGUCGUAGAGGGUGAGAAUCCCGUCUUUGACACGGACAACCGGUGC
rnacentral:rRNA from 1 species